UUAAAUUGAAGAGUUUGAUCAUGGCUCAGAUUGAACGCUGGCGGCAGGCCUAACACAUGCAAGUCGAGCGGUAGCACAGGAGAGCUUGCUCUCCGGGUGACGAGCGGCGGACGGGUGAGUAAUGUCUGGGAAACUGCCUGAUGGAGGGGGAUAACUACUGGAAACGGUAGCUAAUACCGCAUAACGUCUACGGACCAAAGUGGGGGACCUUCGGGCCUCACGCCAUCAGAUGUGCCCAGAUGGGAUUAGCUAGUAGGUGGGGUAAUGGCUCACCUAGGCGACGAUCCCUAGCUGGUCUGAGAGGAUGACCAGCCACACUGGAACUGAGACACGGUCCAGACUCCUACGGGAGGCAGCAGUGGGGAAUAUUGCACAAUGGGCGCAAGCCUGAUGCAGCCAUGCCGCGUGUGUGAAGAAGGCCUUAGGGUUGUAAAGCACUUUCAGCGAGGAGGAAGGGUUCAGUGUUAAUAGCACUGUACAUUGACGUUACUCGCAGAAGAAGCACCGGCUAACUCCGUGCCAGCAGCCGCGGUAAUACGGAGGGUGCAAGCGUUAAUCGGAAUUACUGGGCGUAAAGCGCACGCAGGCGGUUUGUUAAGUCAGAUGUGAAAUCCCCGCGCUUAACGUGGGAACUGCAUUUGAAACUGGCAAGCUAGAGUCUUGUAGAGGGGGGUAGAAUUCCAGGUGUAGCGGUGAAAUGCGUAGAGAUCUGGAGGAAUACCGGUGGCGAAGGCGGCCCCCUGGACAAAGACUGACGCUCAGGUGCGAAAGCGUGGGGAGCAAACAGGAUUAGAUACCCUGGUAGUCCACGCUGUAAACGAUGUCGAUUUGGAGGUUGUGCCCUUGAGGCGUGGCUUCCGGAGCUAACGCGUUAAAUCGACCGCCUGGGGAGUACGGCCGCAAGGUUAAAACUCAAAUGAAUUGACGGGGGCCCGCACAAGCGGUGGAGCAUGUGGUUUAAUUCGAUGCAACGCGAAGAACCUUACCUACUCUUGACAUCCAGAGAAUUCGCUAGAGAUAGCUUAGUGCCUUCGGGAACUCUGAGACAGGUGCUGCAUGGCUGUCGUCAGCUCGUGUUGUGAAAUGUUGGGUUAAGUCCCGCAACGAGCGCAACCCUUAUCCUUUGUUGCCAGCGAUUCGGUCGGGAACUCAAAGGAGACUGCCGGUGAUAAACCGGAGGAAGGUGGGGAUGACGUCAAGUCAUCAUGGCCCUUACGAGUAGGGCUACACACGUGCUACAAUGGCGUAUACAAAGAGAAGCGAACUCGCGAGAGCAAGCGGACCUCAUAAAGUACGUCGUAGUCCGGAUUGGAGUCUGCAACUCGACUCCAUGAAGUCGGAAUCGCUAGUAAUCGUAGAUCAGAAUGCUACGGUGAAUACGUUCCCGGGCCUUGUACACACCGCCCGUCACACCAUGGGAGUGGGUUGCAAAAGAAGUAGGUAGCUUAACCUUCGGGAGGGCGCUUACCACUUUGUGAUUCAUGACUGGGGUGAAGUCGUAACAAGGUAACCGUAGGGGAACCUGCGGUUGGAUCACCUCCUUA
rnacentral:rRNA from 1 species